UCAGUAUUCAAGCGCAGGCAAGGUCGGUAGUCACAGUUUACGCUAAUAGUGCCUCUAACUGAUUGACCCUUACGAGAAGUUAAAGUCAAUGCGUUCACCUCACUAGUGCCAAAGACUGUACUAGCCAAAGCACUUCUAUCAAGUCUUUUGGCAUUACGAAUAUAUUUCUGGACAUUAAUGCUAGCAUAACCCAACGACCUAUCAUUUCCAGAUUCCUCGUAAUCCAUUGCUUCAAGGUCAAUUGUUUUAGUGUCUGCCAUAAUGGGGACAUACAAAAUUUCAUUCCAAAUGGGAUUAAGAUUAUUUGGAGUGUAAACAGUACGGGCUACAACAGAAUUCCCCACGAUGACUCUUGCGUAAGGAUCACUUUUACGCGUAGGCAAUUCAACGUUUACAAGAUCGUUGGCCUUAAUGACACUAAGUCGCAUGACACCAACCAAAUUGUCAAUGUACGUCUUCGCACUUUUCUCUUCUACGACGUCAACUGGAGUCCAAAAAGAUUCAAUGUCAAUGGUGGCCUUUGGGUUUUCUACAAAAUGAAAGGUAUCAUACCCUUCGUGUAACAAUUCAGGCAGUGGAACGGAUACUGUUGCUAUCGCUUUUUCAGGGCUUUUAACA